rnacentral:rRNA from 1 species
AAGCCUAAACCAACUGCAUGCCAAGCCUGCAGGCGUUGUGCAGCUGGGGUCGAGGGAUCUGUCGCGGAGUCCUGCAGAACUCCAAAAGAGUUACAAAACUUUUUUAUAACCGAAUCGAGUUGGAAAAUCGAGCCAAAGACGGUGAAAGCCCAGUAAGUGAAAUAAAAAAGCCUCUUAGACAGACACCCAAGUAAUGCGGAGCACGUGAAAUUCCGUACGAAUCCGGGCCGACCACGGUCCAAGGCUAAACACAUUCAGCGACCGAUAGUGAAACAGUACCGAGAGGGAAAGGUGAAAAGCACCCCUGACGGGGAGUGAAACAGACCUGAAACCUCGUGCUAACAAGCAGAGGGAGCUCCUUAGGGAGUGACCUCGUGCCUCUUGGAAAAUGAGCCGUCGAGUUAUAGUACGUGGCAAAGUUAAAAACUACAAGGUUUGAAGCUGCAGCGAAAGCGAGUCUGAACAGGGCGCAAGUCACAUGCUAUAGACCCGAAGCCAUACGAUCUAUCCAUGUCCAGAUUGAAGACCGGGUAACACCGGUUGGAGGAUCGAACCACAGCCUGUUGAAAAAGGCCUGGAUGAGGUGUGGAUAGGAGUGAAAAGCUAAUCGAGUAUGGUGAUAGCUGGUUCUCCCCGAAAUGCAUUGAGGUGCAGCCUCAAUCGGUAAGACUGCAGGGGGUAAAGCACUGAAUAGGUGAGGGGGCAGCACUGCCUACCGAGCUUAAUCAAACUCAGAAUACCUGCAGAUCUGGAUUGGGAGUGAGACUGCGAGUGCGAAGAUCCGUAGUCGAAAGGGAAACAGCCCAGCCCGACAGCUAAGGUCCCAAAGCCCAUGCUAAGUGUUACAAGGAUGUGGGGAUGCCCAGACAGCCAGGAGGUUGGCUCAGAAGCAGCCAUCCUUGAAAGAGUGCGUAACAGCUCACUGGUCGAGCGUCCCUGCGCCAAAAAUGUGGGGGGCUAAGCAUGGCGCCGAAGCUUCGGAUUCAGUGGAAAUAUCCAUUGACUGGUAGGGGAGCGUUCUAUACAGGACGAAGCAUGAUUGUAAAAUUAUGUGGACAAUAUAGAAGUGAGAAUGACGGCAUGAGUAGCGAAAAGUGUGCGAAAAACACACUCACCGAAAACCCAAGGAUUCCUGGGGAAGGUUCAUCCACCCAGGGUUAGGCGGGACCUAAGGCGAGGCCGAAAGGCGUAGUCGAUGGACAGCAGGUAGACAAUCCUGCCCUUUGGCAGUUCGUUUGACAGAUGGAGUGACGCAGAAAGCUAUGCACGCCGGGUGAUGGAAAUCCCGGUACAAGGUUGUAGGCUUGAGAAAGAGGCAAAUCCCUUUCUCUCCAAGGCCGAGAACUGACGUGGAAGAAUCCAAUUCGAGAAGGUGCAAAUGCUCGGCUGCCGAGAAAAACUUCUAUGGAGAACUGUCGAACCCGUACUCAAAACCGACACAGGUGGGUUGGCUUAGAAGGCUAAGGUGAACGGGAUAACCAUUGUUAAGGAACUCUGCAAGUUGACUCCGUAACUUCGGGAGAAGGAGUGGCUGGAGAUGUGAAUAUUUUACAUAGUAAGCAUCUUUGGUUCGCAGAAACCAGGCUCAGGCGACUGUUUAACUAAAACACAGGACUCUGCUGAAGGCGCAAGCCGAAGUAUAGGGUCUGACACCUGCCCGGUGCUGGAAGGUUAAAGGGAGAGGUCAGCCGCAAGGCGAAGCUUUGAACUGAAGCCCCAGUAAACGGCGGCCGUAACUAUAACGGUCCUAAGGUAGCGAAAUUCCUUGUCGGGUAAGUUCCGACCUGCACGAAAGGUGUAACGAUCUGAGCGCUGUCUCGACAGUGGGCCCGGUGAAAUUGUGGUACUGGUAAAGACGCCAGUUACCCGCAGUAGGACGGAAAGACCCCGUGGAGCUUUACUGUAACUUGAUAUUGGAUUUCGGUAUAGUAUGUAUAGGAUAGGUGGGAGGC